GACGAACGCUGGCGGCAUGCCUAAUACAUGCAAGUCGAGCGAACAGAUGAAGUGCUUGCACUUCUGACGUUAGCGGCGAACGGGUGAGUAACACGUAAGGAAUCUACCUAUAAGCGGGGGAUAACAUUCGGAAACGGGUGCUAAUACCGCAUAAUAUCUUCUUCCGCAUGGAAGAAGAUUGAAAGACGGCUCUGCUGGCACUUAUAUAUGACCUUGCGGUACAUUAGUUAGUUGGUGGGGUAACGGCAUACCAAGACGAUGAUGCAUAGUCGACCUGAGGGGGUGAUCGGCCACAUUGGGACUGAGACACGGCCCAAACUCCUACGGGAGGCAGCAGUAGGGAAUCUUCCGCAAUGGGCGAAAGCCUGACGGAGCAAUGCCGCGUGAGUGAAGAAGGCCUUCGGGUCGUAAAACUCUGUUAUAAGAGAAGAACAAAUUGUAGAGUAACUGCUACAGUCUUGACGGUAUCUUAUCAGAAAGCCACGGCUAACUACGUGCCAGCCGCCGCAGUAA
rnacentral:rRNA from 1 species